rnacentral:rRNA from 1 species
AUUGAACGCUGGCGGCAGGCUUAACACAUGCAAGUCGAGCGGGGGAUGGUAGCUUGCUACCUGACCUAGCGGCGGACGGGUGAGUAAUGCUUAGGAAUCUGCCUAUUAGUGGGGGACAACAUUCCGAAAGGGAUGCUAAUACCGCAUACGUCCUACGGGAGAAAGCAGGGGAUCACUUGUGACCUUGCGCUAAUAGAUGAGCCUAAGUCGGAUUAGCUAGUUGGUGGGGUAAAGGCCUACCAAGGCGACGAUCUGUAGCGGGUCUGAGAGGAUGAUCCGCCACACUGGGACUGAGACACGGCCCAGACUCCUACGGGAGGCAGCAGUGGGGAAUAUUGGACAAUGGGGGGAACCCUGAUCCAGCCAUGCCGCGUGUGUGAAGAAGGCCUUUUGGUUGUAAAGCACUUUAAGCGAGGAGGAGGCUUACCUGGUUAAUACCUGGGAUAAGUGGACGUUACUCGCAGAAUAAGCACCGGCUAACUCUGUGCCAGCAGCCGCCGCAGUAA